GUGUCAGCAGCCGCGGUAAUACAGAGGUUGCGAGCGUUGUUCGGAAUUAUUGGGCGUAAAGCGCUUGUAGGCGGCCCGGCAAGUCCCGUGUGAAAUCCCUCGGCUUAACCGAGGAAGUGCGCGGGAAACUGCCAGGCUUGAGUGCCGGAGAGGGUGGCGGAAUUCCGGGUGUAGAGGUGAAAUUCGUAGAUAUCCGGAGGAACACCAGUGGCGAAGGCGGCCACCUGGACGGACACUGACGCUGAGACGCGAAAGCGUGGGGAGCAAACAGGAUUAGAUACCCUGGUAGUCCACGCCGUAAACGAUGGGAACUAGGUGUCGCGGGUUUUGACCCCUGCGGUGCCGACGCUAACGCAUUAAGUUCCCCGCCUGGGAAGUACGGCCGCAAGGCUAAA
rnacentral:rRNA from 1 species